UACGGGGGGGGCAAGCGUUGUUCGGAAUUACUGGGCGUAAAGGGCUCGUAGGCGGCCGCUUAAGUCAGACGUGAAAUCCCUCGGCUCAACCGGGGCACUGCGUCUGAGACUGAAUGGCUUGAAUCCGGGAGAGGGAUGCGGAAUUCCAGGUGUAGCGGUGAAAUGCGCAGAUAUCAGGAGGAAUACCCAUAGCGAAGGCAGCUCGCUGGGACGUUACUGACGCUGAGACGCGAAAGCGUGGGGAGCAAACAGG
rnacentral:rRNA from 1 species